AAAUGCAAAAUGAGCAGAGCCGACAUUUUAAAUAAUAACUGUCGUUAUUGUUAAAUAACUGUCGAGCCAACGAUACGUCAUGUGUGAGUUAGUAUUUCUCAAUUUUUAUUAAAAAGAAGGAAGAUAGCAAGUAAUUUCAGUUGCAAGACUACGUCUCUAAUUCGAUUUUCCAGCCGGCUACCGCUGUUAUUUCGUAAUGCGCCGAUUUUAUUGGUCAUCGAAUCACGCGUGGACGUUAGAAACACGCCUACGAUGACAUGGCACGCGAGUGCAACGCGGAAUGCCGCGUGUCGAUAUAGGAUUUAUCACUUGAACUUUAAUCCGAUGGUUAGCGCCGGAAGCCGACACUUCAGAAAGGGGCGAGGCGGUAAUUGAAAAUGUUGCAAUCGAACCUGCUGAAAAUGCAAACGGUCUAAGUCCGCCGAGAAACACAGUUCCGCAAAUGAUGUUAGACCUAAUUCUUCUGAUUCUUUUCUACUUAUACUUGAAAAUGCGGAUUACGGCAGACGAAAAAGCAACGAAAAGCAACUUCGCGAAUCGCUAAGAGGUCAAUCGGCGCAUUAAAUACCUAUUGACCCUCGUAAGUUCGUUUAUUGGUUUAAUAGCUUGCAUAGACAGAAGAACAAGUUUGAGCAUGUCUUUACGCUUGUCAAGACUUUAAGACCGUUGGAAAAAUAUUUCACGAGUCACGCUUUCG